AGCUGAAUUCCAGCUUCUAAGCGGUUGCCCACUAACCUCUCGAGACUCAGGAGACCUCACCAGCUGGCUGAGCCUGGAGACCUUGAAAUCCAGAGGUGGCUACUGCAGGUUCUUCCCAGGUCGUGCCUGCCAUCUUGUGGAUAUAGAUGGUAACCACACCGAGGCUGAGCUCAAAACCCCCUUAAGGAUCAAAGGACUUUGUUCCCUUAGUGAAAAACAAAACUACCUUAAAUGCUGCCUUUUGCGUCAUGCCGUGUCAAAAGGAAUUGAUCCUGCUUCUGCAGUCCUGAGGGUCUGCUCCAUACUGAUCCUGAUGAAGGCAUUUGGGUACCAGUCUCACAACAUCUUCUAUAAACCCUUCUAUCCUGCAGAGCUCUUAGCACCAUGCUUUUUAUAAGCGCUUAGUAAAUGUUCUGGGAAGUUGAGAAUUUAAGCUGUUGAAACCAUGGACCUAUGAUUAACUGGGAGAUGACAUCUUAAUUCUCAGAGGAGAGGUCAUGUAAGGACAAAGCAACUGUCUGCAAGCCAGGAAGAGAACGCUCCCCAGAGGCUGAGCCCUGCUGGACCUUGAUUUUGGACUUCCAGCCCCGGAAAUAUGAACAAGUAAAUUUCUGUUGUUGAAGUCACCCAGUCUGUGGCUUUUUGUUGCAGCAGCCUGAGCCGAGGCUGCGUUGUAUAUUCUUCUCUUCCCUCCCGGGCCCUUCUUUCAUGCCUGCAGCUCUGCCUAGUUCCGGUACACAGCUUCCUCCCAGCUUGGAAGGCCUGGAAGAGGAAAUUGCUCCCUGCUAUCACUCCCUGCUAUUAGUCCCAGUGUACCCCAGUCCUUCACGGUUCCCGUAAACCCGUCCACACCUCUGUAAAUAGUUCCAUCACUGAAUAAUUUUAUUAAACCCUCUGGAGUGUG